GACGAACGCUGGCGGCGUGCUUAACACAUGCAAGUCGAACGGUGAAGGGGUCUGCUUUUGUGGGCCCUGGAUGAGUGGCGAACGGGUGAGUCACACGUGAGUAACCUGCCCCCUUCUUCUGGAUAACCGCAUGAAAGUGUGGCUAAUACGGGAUAUUCUGGGUCUGUCGCAUGAUGGGUCUGGGAAAGAUUGCGCCUUUGGGUGUUUUUGGUGGGGGAUGGGGUCGCGGCCUAUCAGCUUGUUGGUGGGGUGAUGGCCUACCAAGGCGGUGACGGGUAGCCGGCCUGAGAGGGUGGACGGUCACACUGGGACUGAGACACGGCCCAGACUCCUACGGGAGGCAGCAGUGGGGAAUAUUGCACAAUGGGCGCAAGCCUGAUGCAGCGACGCCGCGUGAGGGAUGGAGGCCUUCGGGUUGUAAACCUCUUUCGCCAGUGAAGCAGGCCUGCUCCUUGUGGGUGGGUUGAUGGUAGCUGGAUAAGAAGCGCCGGCUAACUACGUG
rnacentral:rRNA from 1 species